UACGGGGGAUGCAAGCGUUAUCCGGAUUUAUUGGGUUUAAAGGGUGCGUAGGCUGUGAGGUAAGUCAGCGGUGAAAUGCCCCCGCUCAACGGGGUGAAGUGCCAUUGAUACUGCCUUGCUGGAAUGCGGAUGCCGUGGGAGGAAUGUGUGGUGUAGCGGUGAAAUGCAUAGAUAUCACACAGAACACCGAUUGCGAAGGCACCUCACGAAUCCGCGAUUGACGCUGAUGCACGAAAGCGUGGGUAUCAAACAGG
rnacentral:rRNA from 1 species